ensembl:lncRNA
CUGAGUGCUUCGUGACCCAGGAGAGGAGGAAAGGGGUGUAAAGGGAUAGUUCACCCAAAUUACAUUUUGGCGUCCUUACCCUUUAAAUCCAAAGGCCUCAUUUGGAAGCGACACAAUGGCACAUACAGCACUGUAAAGAUAAGACCGACAAGCUACAGCACUGUAGAGGUAAAGACGACAGGCUACAGCACUGUAGAGGUAAAGACGACAGACAGGCUACAGCGCUGUGGAGGUAAAGACGACAGACAGGCUACAGCGCUGUGGAGGUAAAGACGACAGACAGGCUACAGCGCUGUAGAGGUAAAGACGACAGACAGGCUACAGCGCUGUGGAGGUAAAGACGACAGACAGGCUACAGCACUGUGGAGGUCAAGAGGACAGACAGGCUACAGCGCUGUGGAGGUCAAGACGACAGGCAGG